AUGAUGCCUCCUCACUCCAUCCCUGGCCUCAGAAUUUGGAAGUUGUCUCACCCCAAAACAAAUCAUAAUAAAAGUUCCCACCUGCCAAGCAGACAUGCUCAUAAUAGUCAAACUGUUAACUAUUUGAAUCUGACUAUUGACUAUCUAUCUCUGCCAAAGCAAACCUGUAGAGUCUGGAAGAGGAACCUGAUUACUCAAAUCCACAGACAACAACAUAAGGAAUCAAGGAUCACAAAAAGCAGGAGCUGUGGCUUGCUGCUGCUUCCCAGCAUCACUGACAUUAUGGUCCUGCAUAUCACUAGCCCUGAAAAAGAUCAAAACUCAAAAUUUGAAGUACAGUUUCUACUGAAUACCUACCACUUUUACACCACUGUGAAGUUAAAAAAUCCUAAGUUGAUCCAUCAUAAACUGGGGACUGUUUUGCUAGAAACUACUUUCCAUAAUUAUUCCACAAGCAUCACUUUCAUUUUCCUUCAAAUUUCCUAGGAAUUCUUAAACAACUUCAGAGUACUUAUACUUCAAAAUUUUCUGAAAAAAUUACACUGAUAAUAUAGCAUAUUGACAUUUUUUUUCAAUCUGAUGUGUCUUACAUCUACUGAAGUAAAUUAAUGUUUUUUUUUAAGAUUUUAUUUAUUUAUUUGACAGAGAUCACAAGUAGGCAGAGAGGCAGGCAGAGAGAGAAGGGGGGAAGCAGGGUCCCCACUGAGCAGAGAGCCUGAUAUGGGUGUUGAUCCCAGGACUCUGGGAUCAUGAUCUGAGCCAAAGGCAGAGGUUUUAACCCACUAAGCCACCUAGGCACCCCAAAUUAAUGUUUUUUUUGUUGUUUUUUAAAGAUUUUAUUAUUUGACACAGAGCACACGUGUGCACAAGCGGGGGGAGCGGCAAUUAGAGGGAGAAGCAGGUAGAAGAAGUAGACUCCCCGCUGAGCAAAGAGCCAUUCGUAGGGCUCCAUUCUAGGACCUUGGAUCACGACCAGAGCCCAAGGCAGACACUUAACGGACUGAGCCACCCAGGUGCCCCAAAUUAAUGUUAUCUUGAUUAACACCUUUGGUAGAAGUAAAUUUAGGAGCCAAAGAACAAGCCUAUCUGUGUCUUCAUUAGCAAAAUUCUGUGUUUUGGUGUCCCUUACUUUAACUUUGAGAUAAAUGUGCCAAGGUAUUCUUCCUUUCUGGUUGUGCAUGGUCAGUAUUGGUCUUAUUCUGGCAUUUUUCU
rnacentral:lncRNA from 1 species